rnacentral:rRNA from 1 species
AAGUAAAAAGUCGAACAAGGUUUCCGUAGGUGAACCUGCGGAAGGAUCAUCA